UGAUUGUUUGCAAAUACUUUUUCAAGAAAGGUCUGCAUGAGAAUGUCAUUUUAGUCAGAACCGCAGAGCUGUGGAGAACCUUCAAUCCCAUUAUGGAGCUGCACCUGGAACCUGGAAACUCGGAGAAGUUAAACGG